AAUAGGAAAUUUAAGGGCGUAUGGUGGAUGCCUUGACUCAAAGAGGCGAUGAAGGACGCGGUAUAGCUGCGAUAAGCUUCGGGGAGGCGCCGAACAGCCUUUGAUCCGGAGAUUUCCGAAUGGGGAUGAACCCUGUCCGCUAAAAGCGGACAAUCUCUCGAGCAAUCGAGAGAAGCGAACCCUGGGAAGUGAAACAUCUCAGUACCAGGUGGAAAAUAGAACAAUAGUUAUUCCCUAAGUAGUGGCGAGCGAAAAGGGAAGAGCCCAAACCAACGUGCUUCGCACGCAGUUUGAAAGUCCAUAAAGUCAAAAGUCCAUAAAGCGAAUUGAAUUUUACUUUACAGACUUUACAGACUUUUAACUUUUGACUUGCGCGCGGAGCGCGCUGGGGUUGUAAGAGACAGCAAUGGUUUACCAAGGAAGUUUUAAAAAUCGGAGUUGUUAAUUGAAUCAGCUGGAAAGCUGAACCACAGAAGGUAAUAGUCCUGUAAGUGAAAACAAUCUCCAUACUUUCAGCUGUCAUCUUGAGUAAUUCGGGACACGAAUGGCCCGGGUGAAUCAUCCAGAACUAACUGGAAAGGCUAAAUACUCUUUGAGAUCGAUAGUGAACAANNNNNNNNNNGCAGCCCGGUGAGGGCGAUGAAAUAGUAUCUGAAACCAUAUGUCUACAAGGAGUCGGAGUCCCGACGCAAGUCGCGGACGACGGCGUGCCUAUUGAAGAAUGAGCCAACGAGUUAAUUUAUGUUGCUUGCUUAAGCCGAUGAAUCGGCGGAGGCGCAGCGAAAGCGAGUCUUAAAAGGCGCCGUAGCAUAAAUUAGACCCGAAACCAGGUGAACUUACCAUGGAUAGGAUGAAUCCGCCGUAAAUGGCGGAGGAGGUCCGAACCCUUUAGCCGUGCAAAACUAUGGGAUAAUCUGUGGUAUGGAGUGAAAAGCUCAUCGAACCUGGUAAUAGCUGGUUCUCUCCGAAAUAGCUUUAGGGCUAGCGUCCGUUUUACCUUCCGGGGGUAGAGCACUGGAUGGUCUGCACAGGGAGCAAUCUCGGCAGACCAAUCAAACUCCGAAUACCGGAAGUCAUUAACGGGCAGUCAGACCGUGGGGGCUAAGCUUCACUGGUCAAAAGGGGAACAGCCCGAAUCUCAAUCUAAGGUCCCUAAAUCUCUGCUAAGUGUACUUAAGGAAGUGAAAUUUCUAUGACAGCGAGGAGGUUGGCUUAGAAGCAGCCAUCCUUUAAAGAGUGCGUAACAGCUCACUCGCUAAGAGGUUUUGCGCCGCAAAUAAUCGGGACUCAAGCAGAGUACCGAAGGUGAGGGCGCGAGCAAAGCUCGCAGUUUGAAAGUCCAUAAAGUCAAAAGUCCAUAAAGUGAAUUUUAAUUUCACUUUAAGAACUUUAUAAACUUUAAACUUUUGACUUGCGAGCUUUGCUCGCGCGGUAGGAGAGUAUUCGCAACCGCUGUGAAGUCCACGACGCGAGUCGGGAUGGAGCGUUGCGAAGUAAGAAUGUUGGCACAAGUAACCGCAAUCUCUGUUAAAUUCAGAGACGCCGAAAACCUAAGGUUUCCUUGACAAUGUUGAUCAUUCAAGGGUUAGUCGGGCCUAAGCCGAUGGCGAAAGCCGCAGGCGAUGGACAAACGGUUAAUAUUCCGUUACCUUCUUAUUUUUUCGAUGGAGCGACGGAGGUCAGUAUGUUGAGCGCAUUAUUGGAUUUGCGUUAUUGGCGUGAGGAAUAUCGGCAGGCAAAUCCGCCGGUAUCUUUAAAUAGAGAUUCCAAGCGUUGAUAAAAUGUUCCGCUUUCGGGCGGGAUGAAUUCAACAAAGCGGCCUUCCAAGAAAAACUUCUAGAGUUAAGAAUAAGGAGUCCGUACCGAAAACCGACACAGGUGGGUAAGUCGAGUAGACUAAGGCGAACGAGUGAGAGUUUCCCAAGGAACUAGGCAAAAAAGCGACCGUAACUUCGGGAUAAGGUCUACCCGCUGAUGAUAUAGCAAUAUAUAUGUAAGCGGGUCGCAGCGAAAGUUCCUCUGGCGACUGUUUAUCUAAAACACAGCUCCCUGCUAACUCGUAAGAGGAUGUAUAGGGGGCGACGCUUGACCAAUGCGAGAAGGUCAAAAGGCGCUGGUCUUAUGCCGCAAGGCGUAAGGCUNNNNNNNNNNNGUUCCUUGUCAGGUAAGUUCUGACGCGCACGAAAAGCGUAACGACCGGAGGACUGUCUCGGGAAAUUGCUCGGUGAAAAUACAAUACCGGUGAAGAUGCCGGUUACCUGCAGCUAGACGAAAAGACCCCGGAAGCUUUACUACAACUUGGUAUUGGCUUUAGGUUUUUGAUGCGUAGCAUAGGCGGGAGGCUUUGAAGUUCUUCUCUCGGGGAGAAUGGAGCCGCCAGUGAAAUACCGCUCUUUAAAAAUUUAAAAUCUAACCUUCGCGGCAAAAACGCGAGGAGACAGUGCCUGGCGGGUAGUUUGAUUGGGGCGAUUCCCUCCCAAAGAGUAACGGAGGGGUCUACAAAGGUCGGCUAGGCGCGGAUGGAAACCGCUCCGAUAGCGCAAUGGCAAAAGCCGGCUUAACUGCAAGACGGACAUGUCGAGCAGAUGCGAAAGCAGAGCAUAGUGAACCGACCAUUCGCAUUAGAUGCGGUGGAGGAUUAACGGAUAAAAGCUACUCCGGGGAUAACAGGCUGGUAGUGCCCAAGAGUUCAUAUCGACGGCACUGUUCGGCACCUUAACAUUAUCGGGGUGCGUCGCGAGAAAUCGCGCGGCCGAAAUCAAACGCAUUUUAGGAGAAUGUGUUUUGAUUAAAAUAUUGGCUUAUAACGGUGAACUCCAUGCUAUGAUAUAGACAUGGACAAUACCGCGGGAAGUCUGACCAAACUUGAACGAUCUAUAAUAAUCGGCUCUAUUUUGGGAGACGGGUAUAUGAGAAUUAUGCCCGGCAGAUCCGACGCUUUUUUGGAAAUAAAUCAUUCCGUGAAAGCAAAAGAUUAUGUUGAUUACAAAUUCAAUAAACUGAAAAGAAUUUGCGAAUCUGUUCCAAAAGAAAGAGCGACAAAUGAGGAUCGUCAUGCGUAUAGAUUUUUUACAAAACAGCAUAAGGACUUAACAACUCUUUACGGCUUGUUUUACAAAAACAAACGCAAAAUAAUACCAAAAAACCUUGAGCUUGAUCCGAUGUCCAUCGCCAUUUGGUAUAUGGAUGACGGGAGCAAAUCAAGAGACAGCGAUGUUUAUUUGAACACGCAACAGUUUAGUUUACUAGAUCAGAAAAAAUUAUUAAACUGUUUGAGAAAAUUUGGCAUUAACGCGCGUUUAAACAAGGACAAAAAAUACUAUCGCAUAAGAAUACUGAAAGAAAGUAUUCAAAACUUUAUGGACAUUGUCGCGCCGUAUAUGGCGCCGUCAAUGAAAUACAAGUUGGUUAUGACCCUGUAGAGACUGAUGCGAAAGCAGAGAGUGUUCCAAGUUAGGGACGCUAAAACGCCAACUCCUCAUCACGAUUUGAUUGUCGCGAAAGGAUGAAGAUAUAGUCCAUACCAUUAGUAAUAAUGGAGAAAUAUACGAUGUCGGCUCAACCUAUCCUGGGGGUGGAGAAGCUCCCAAGGGUUUGGCUGUUCGCCAAUUAAAAGGUUACGUGAGCUGGGUUCAAACCGUCGUGAGACAGGUUGGUCUCCUAUCUGCUGCAGGCGUUAGAUUUUUGAGGAGCUCUGCUCUCUGUACGAGAGGAUCAGAGUGGACCGACCUCUGGUGUGCCGGCUGUCCUGCCAAGGGCAACGCCGGGUAGCUAUGUCGGGAUGGGAUAAUCGCUGAAAGCAUCUAAGCGAGAAACCCGCUCCAAGAUUAGAAAUCAUAGACAGGUCGCAGAUUACGACCUUGAUAGGCUUUAGGUGUAAGCGCGGCAACGCGUUGAGCCGAGAAGUACUAAUUGUCUGAUUCCU
rnacentral:rRNA from 1 species